rnacentral:rRNA from 1 species
GACGAACGCUGGCGGCGUGCUUAACACAUGCAAGUCGAACGAUGAACCACUUCGGCGGGGAUUAGUGGCGAACGGGUGAGUAACACGUGGGCAAUCUGCCCUGCACUCUGGGACAAGCCCUGGAAACGGGGUCUAAUACCGGAUACAACCACUGACCGCAUGGUCGGGUGGUGGAAAGCUCCGGCGGUGCAGGAUGAGCCCGCGGCCUAUCAGCUUGUUGGUGAGGUAAUGGCUCACCAAGGCGACGACGGGUAGCCGGCCUGAGAGGGCGACCGGCCACACUGGGACUGAGACACGGCCCAGACUCCUACGGGAGGCAGCAGUGGGGAAUAUUGCACAAUGGGCGAAAGCCUGAUGCAGCGACGCCGCGUGAGGGAUGACGGCCUUCGGGUUGUAAACCUCUUUCAGCAGGGAAGAAGCGAAAGUGACGGUACCUGCAGAAGAAGCGCCGGCUAACUACGUGCCAGCAGCCGCGGUAAUACGUAGGGCGCAAGCGUUGUCCGGAAUUAUUGGGCGUAAAGAGCUCGUAGGCGGCUUGUCGCGUCGGUUGUGAAAGCCCGGGGCUUAACCCCGGGUCUGCAGUCGAUACGGGCAGGCUAGAGUUCGGUAGGGGGAGAUCGGAAUUCCUGGUGUAGCGGUGAAAUGCGCAGAUAUCAGGAGGAACACCGGUGGCGAAGGCGGAUCUCUGGGCCGAUACUGACGCUGAGGAGCGAAAGCAUGGGGAGCGAACAGGAUUAGAUACCCUGGUAGUCCAUGCCGUAAACGUUGGGCACUAGGUGUGGGGCUCAUUCCACGAGUUCCGCGCCGUAGCUAACGCAUUAAGUGCCCCGCCUGGGGAGUACGGCCGCAAGGCUAAAACUCAAAGGAAUUGACGGGGGCCCGCACAAGCGGCGGAGCAUGCGGAUUAAUUCGAUGCAACGCGAAGAACCUUACCAAGGCUUGACAUACACCGGAAGCAGCCAGAGAUGGUUGUGUCUUCGGACUGGUGUACAGGUGGUGCAUGGUUGUCGUCAGCUCGUGUCGUGAGAUGUUGGGUUAAGUCCCGCAACGAGCGCAACCCUCAUUCUAUGUUGCCAGCACGUGAUGGUGGGGACUCAUGGGAGACUGCCGGGGUCAACUCGGAGGAAGGUGGGGAUGACGUCAAAUCAUCAUGCCCCUUAUGUCUUGGGCUUCACGCAUGCUACAAUGGCCGGUACAAAGGGUUGCGAUCCCGUGAGGGGGAGCGAAUCCCAAAAAGCCGGUCUCAGUUCGGAUUGGGGUCUGCAACUCGACCCCAUGAAGUCGGAGUCGCUAGUAAUCGCAGAUCAGCAACGCUGCGGUGAAUACGUUCCCGGGCCUUGUACACACCGCC